UUUUGUCUUUUUAUUUUUUUUUGAGCCGAAGGUCUUUCAGAAACAGGCUCUCUACUCCUUCCGGGUAGAGGUAAGGUCUGCGUACACACUACCCUCCCCAAACCCCAUUAGUGAGAUUUUACUGGGUUGUUGUUGUUGUUUCUAGCACAUAUAUAGGAUCUAAGCUAAAGUAAGCGGACAGAAUUUGAAAAAAAACCCGUAGAUCUUAUAUUACAUCCCAACGCUAGUCAGAGAAAACUAAUAUUCCACUUGAAAUAUACAUUCACACCAGUAUUUCGAUCAAUAUUUCACUUAAACUUAAAUACUGAAGUUAAGUAUGCAAAUAAAGUUCAAUAUUUGAAAUACUAAAAUUUAUGGCCGAGGGCUAAAAGUAUUUUAAGAUUGCCAAAAUAGAUAUUGGACUUUUACCUUUAAAAGUUUCAAAUUCCACUAUCGUGUAUCGAGAUUUCACCUUAGAGAUUUUUUGAACUCCAAUAACAAAUCAUGGGGUUUGAACUUGAUAAAUAUUAAAACUUUCUUCCAUAUUUUGAUUAAGGGUAAAUUUUAUUUUCGCAUUAAAGAAUGGUUAUUUCCUUUUGCAUAAAUAAUAGCUAAAAACUUAUAGCAUGCCUGAACAGUGGCCAUCUCAUAUUUUUAGGGUCAAUUGAUUUUUUGGCCUUUUACAAACUUGUUUUUAGUUUUAUGACACUACCUUUUUUUUUACACAUGAGAGAUUUACUUUUACACGUAAGAGAUCUAAAAAAGACAUUUUCUUAAAUUCAACAUUGUAAAAGGCCUGACAGGCCUAAAACCUCUGAUUUUUCUUGGUUAAAGUCUCCACAGUCCAACCCAUUUCUAAAUCUCAACAGUAAAGAAAGAGCCUAAGUGGUAUAUGGUGCUUUGGCAGAUUCUGAGUGUUGGUAUCCUUGAUCUAUCUAGGAAUGAAAUUUCAUCUGUUAAUGCACGAUCCAUACAUGAGAGUAAACCAACCAUUUAGAAUAAUUUGCAUCAUUAAUGGGGCUUGAAACUGAUAAGGCACAUGCACUUUAUUGAGCGACGUAGUCAUAUAUCAGUAUAUGAGGUCAGGUGCAAAUUUAGAACUAAUUUCAUGAAUUCAACUUGCAAGAUAUUUAGCACUAAAUUUAUUAUACUUUUAAGUUAUGGAUUUGAAUAUAAUAUUUAUUGAAACUUUAAUCGACUUUUCUAUAUAUAUAUUUAUACUUUACGUCGAAUAUAUUGGGUUCAAAUGAACAGUUGACGAAGAGCUACAUCUGCACAAGUCUUCUUGUCAGCUAUGGAGUCUAGCAAAUGAGAGGAAGAAGACGAGGAACGGAGAAGGAAGAAUUCAUUCUCUCUAAAUUUCAAUAUUGUGCUACAAUGCAGAAAAAUGAAACAUAGGCAACUAUUUAUACACAUUAAGUAACUUGCUAACUUUGGCUUAAUUUAAUCCUAACUAACUACAUCUCAGUGAUAGCUGUCUAUGCCACUCCACUAACUGCUUCCAACUAACUGACUCAACACUCUCCCUCAAGUUGAGGGUUAAAAUAUAUUCUUCAUUUCCAGCUUGCUCACCAGAUGAUCAUGUUGUGGCCUACACAAACUUUUUGUAAGUAAAUCAGCAAGUUGAUCCUUGGUACCAACAUGUUGUGUUUGUAUCUACCCUUCUUGUAUCUCUCUCUUACAAAGUGACAGUCACUAUCAAAAUGUUUUGUCCUUCAUGAAAUAUUGGAUGAGCUGCAAUUUGCAGCUUUUACUGUCGCAAAAUAACUUCACAGGCAAGUUUACUUCCACUCCAAGCUCUUUGAACAAUCCAAUCAACCAAGUGAUCUCAGUCACAGUUGAUGCCAUACUCCUGAACUCUGAUUCAGCAGAGCUUCUGGAGACUGUACUUUAUUUCUUUGAUUUCCAAGAUACCAAAGCCUUCCCAAACUUCACCAUGUAGCCAGUCACUGACUUCCUUGUUUCUACACAUGCUCCCAAUCUGAGUCACUUCUUUGCUUUCACCUGCUGGCAUAAACAACCCAAGACAUGUUGUUCCUUUGAUGUAUCUGACUACCCUCAUAGCUGCAUCCAUGUGGGACUGUUUAGAAGCAUGCAUAUACUGACUAAGUACUUGGACGACAAAGACAAUAUCAAGCCUUAUCAUUGUCAAGUAUAAUAGUGUGCCAAUUAGUCUUUGGUAGCUGCUUCUGUCCUCUAGUUCUCUAUCAGUUUAUCCCUCAUUACCAUGUAGAAACCUGUCCAAUUCCACAAAAGAGUGCUUGUGAUUAAACUCAAGAGGUGUAGCAACUGUUCUACUACCUGCUAGGUGAUAAGUGGGGAUUUUGACUACUUAUUAGCUCCUUUUAGCUUUUGUUUUAGUCUAAAAAUAUUGAAUUGUGUUCCCGAAACUGACAAAAUGUGCUAAAUUGCAGGAAUAUUGGAAGAUGGACUCCCGAGAUGAAAUCCAACUAAAAAAUGAGUAAUCUAAACUCAAGGCAAUAAAAGGCACAAAAGCUCACAAAGUGCGGACCGCAGAAUUUCAUCUGUGAUCGCAAAUGAUGAAGGAAAGUCCAGCAGACUUUUAUGCAAAGUGUGGACCGCACAUGAAUUGUGCGGCCGCAAAAGCUAGGCUAGGAACAAAGUUUAGAGAAUGUGCAAUUUUUCAAGUUCCAAGUCCCUCAGAAGUGCGGACCGCACAAGAAUUGUACGGCCGCAGAAGAAGUGCCUUGCGGCCGUGGAAGUAAAAGUGCAGACCGCAGAACCAAGUUGCGACCGCAAUUACAAAUCUGCGGACCGCAAAAAGAAUGCCUCGCGGCCGCAGAUCAGAAUUAUGCGGCCGCAAACCUCCUUUUCCUGACAAGUUGAAGAAAUUUGCGGAUUGCACAUGGAAUUGUACGGCCACAGAACCUCCCGAGGGGCAUUUUUGUCCGAAAUUGUCAGUUUUGUAUAAAUAAAAGAGUUUCAUG
rnacentral:lncRNA from 1 species